rnacentral:rRNA from 1 species
GACGAACGCUGGCGGCGUGCCUAAUACAUGCAAGUCGAGCGGACGGAUGGGAGCUUGCUCCCUGAAGUCAGCGGCGGACGGGUGAGUAACACGUGGGCAACCUGCCCCUAAGAUCGGGAUAACUUCGGGAAACCGGAGCUAAUACCGGAUAUGAUCAUCCCUCACAUGAGGGAGGAUGGAAAGACGGUUUCGGCUGUCACUUAGGGAUGGGCCCGCGGCGCAUUAGCUAGUUGGUGAGGUAACGGCUCACCAAGGCGACGAUGCGUAGCCGACCUGAGAGGGUGAUCGGCCACACUGGGACUGAGACACGGCCCAGACUCCUACGGGAGGCAGCAGUAGGGAAUCUUCCGCAAUGGACGAAAGUCUGACGGAGCAACGCCGCGUGAGUGAAGAAGGUUUUCGGAUCGUAAAACUCUGUUGUCAGGGAAGAACAAGUACCAUAGUAACUGAUGGUACCUUGACGGUACCUGACCAGAAAGCCACGGCUAACUACGUGCCAGCCGCCGCGGUAA